rnacentral:lncRNA from 1 species
GAAAAUUAAUACAAGUUAGGUAAAAAUUAAUAAUUUGACGACAUAAAAACCUAGUUAUGUAGUCUAAAUAAGUACAUAAAUGCACUUAUCAAACACCCCCAAACUAAAAUAUUUGUUCGUCCUCGAACAAAACAAAAUAAAACUUAAGUAUAACACAUUUCUAACCUAACAAAUCAUAAAUAAACGACUCAACGUUGAACUACUUACCAUAUGCCUCAGGUUCGAAUUUAAGCAAUAUUUUAGAAAGAUCCAAACAACAUCAAAAAUAAAAAUAAAAAUUGCUUAUCCGAUGCUCGAUUUAGACUCUCUGUGUGUGUGUGAGAUUAGCCAAUAUUGAACUAACACCUAUAUUAGAAUACAAC